UUCUGCUACCACUUAAGUGUUAAUAGCUAAUAAUAGAGCAAGCUUGAUUACUACCUUGGUGUCCUAAAACGGAUGUUGGCCUGCCAGGGAGCAGCCAAGGUGAAGUUUUCAACCAGGCCGACCAACUUCAGAGUCCACUGGCUUCAAAACAGUGCUUUACAUCCUCCUUCCAACAUUAUUCACAAGCCGAUCAAGACUGAGAGAGUCACAAGUGUGUGAAACCUGUAUUCUUUCUGACUUCAUUUUCCCUGGUCGAAAUUUUUGUAGAAUAGACAAAUCAAGAAUGAUGACUUCUUAAGAUGCAGUAUUCAAGUUCAGAAAUCUAUACUCAGAUGACCUUAUGUAGGUCAUCUGCUUCUGAGGUUUAUCUCACCAGUGUCAUAGAAACCUGUAUUAAGAAAACAGAUUUCAGGAGCCUUUGAACAAGAAGAGAGAGGAAGAAUGACAUAACUGAACAAGAGAGAUGGCGAGCAGAGUUUCCUGAAUGCUGUGAGCAGAACAAUUGGACAGAUGAGGGAAGUCUGUGACAAUCCAGUGGAAUCACGCAGUGUGUUUAAGUAAAGCUCCCUUUGCUCAAAAUAAAUUUUAAAAGGAAAUUAAAUUCUAACCACGUCUUAGGCAUAAAAUGACCCUCUUUUCUUAUCUAGC
rnacentral:lncRNA from 1 species